rnacentral:rRNA from 1 species
CCUACGGGUGGCAGCAGUCGAGAAUCAUUCACAAUGGGGGAAACCCUGAUGGUGCGACGCCGCGUGGGGGAAUGAAGGUCUUCGGAUUGUAAACCCCUGUCAUGUGGGAGCAAAUUAAAAAGAUAGUACCACAAGAGGAAGAGACGGCUAACUAUGUGCCAGCAGCCGCGGGAAUACAGCGGUCUCAAGCGUUGUUCGGCAUCACUGGGCGUAAAGCGUGCGUAGGCAGUUUCGUAAGGCGUGUGUGAAAGGCGCGGGCUCAACCCGCGGACGGCACAUGAUACUGCGAGACUAGAGUAAUGGAGGGGGAACCGGAAUUCUCGGUGUAGCAGUGAAAUGCGUAGAUAUCGAGAGGAACACUCGUGGCGAAGGCGGGUUCCUGGACAUUAACUGACGCUGAGGCACGAAGGCCAGGGGAGCGAAAGGGAUUAGAUACCCGAGUAGUC